rnacentral:rRNA from 1 species
GACGAACGCUGGCGGCGUGCUUAACACAUGCAAGUCGAACGCUGAAGCUCAGCUUUUGUUGGGUGGAUGAGUGGCGAACGGGUGAGUAACACGUGAGUAACCUGCCCCCUUCUUUGGGAUAACGCCCGGAAACGGGUGCUAAUACUGGAUAUUCACUGGUCUUCGCAUGGGGGUUGGUGGAAAGGGUUUUUCUGGUGGGGGAUGGGCCCGCGGCCUAUCAGCUUGUUGGUGGGGUGAUGGCCUACCAAGGCUUUGACGGGUAGCCGGCCUGAGAGGGUGACCGGUCACAUUGGGACUGAGAUACGGCCCAGACUCCUACGGGAGGCAGCAGUGGGGAAUAUUGCACAAUGGGCGCAAGCCUGAUGCAGCGACGCCGCGUGAGGGAUGGAGGCCUUCGGGUUGUGAACCUCUUUCGCUCAUGGUCAAGCCGCAACAAUGGUUGUGGUGAGGGUAGUGGGUAAAGAAGCGCCGGCUAACUACGUG